GCAUCCAACGGUUGGUGGUGCUAAUGUGAGGCAAUGUCUCCCUCACUCUAUAUGCAUGUAUCUUUUCUCGUCCCAGUCCCCUUUUUGUUAGUUCAUCCAUGACAUGAUCACUAAGGUUAUUCUUGGUUUUGUAGUUGUAGAUUGCUAUGGAGAAUAAUUGCCCUGAUUAAUUAGUAUUCAGAUGUAUUAUCCCAGACCUCAGAUAAAUUAGACAUGGCAUAUUAGAUAGUCUUUUCUGAUAAAUACUAAUAAUAGGUCCGAUCACAACUACAAUUUGUUAUGCUCUAAAUACCGGUACAUAUUAUUAUGUCUACUAUUUCCUUCAAUAAUGAUUAAUGAGAUAAUGCAACAAUCUUUGUUUUUGUUUUUGCCAUCGUUUUUUAGUCUCAAAUUUUUAUGUUCCUACAGUUCUGUCAUGCAUUAUUAUUUGUACACUUGCACACUAGCUUGUUAUUUGCCUACUGGUUUAGGCGGUAAAUUUUCUACUAAAUCUCUCUUGGCGCGAGAUGUUUGAUGUCUUGCCUCUUUGAAAUAAAAAUUAUAUGUCAUGGUAGAAUGUAUGUGUUGUUUCUUAGGAUUCAUGGGAGUAUUUAGGGUUUAACUAGAUUCUCAUAUGUUGUAUAAAAUUGUUGAUCAAAUCUUGGUGCUCUCUUUCUUUUAUCUGGUAAUGUUGUGAAAAUAGGAAUUGAUAACUCAGUGUGCCUUGCAGGAGACAACCGCGGCUACGAAAAGGAGGGCAUGUUGAAGCAGCACCAGUGGUGUGGGCGCGUCGCUGCGCUCCUCGGCAUCGAGAAGAUGUCGCUCACGAGUCAUCUCUGUACCACCUCCGGGUAUACCAGUUGCUUCUACUGUUCUCCCUACCCCUUCCUCCAUGGUCAAUUGUUCAUUAGGCUGGCCCAUGGGAGAACUGAUACAUUUACCUCGUUCAAUUGUGUGUGCAAUGAUAGUUGGAUUUGUUUUACAGAUGAACAUUUGUCUUCUAAAAGCAUAGCCUACCAACAGGUUCAAGCAAAUGCUAUUUUCGUUGUUCAUUUCAUCCUUCUUGUUUAUUGGGUAACUCUCAUUUUAGAAACAAACCAAACCCAUUAUGUCUACUAUGUUAACUAUAUCUAUCUAAUUCUAGGCAAAUGCAUAGGAGGAAUUUAAUGGUUCUUAUAUUUGCACAGCUAAACUAACAUUUUGUAGUGUUUUCAAAAUUGUAUAGUGUUUCCGUUGAAUAUUCAUGCCCUUUAAAAGUUUAAAUUCAGUUUGUCUUAAAAUCUCACCAUGUUCCUUUUAACAAAAUUAAUGCAAUGAUUUGCUAUGUCUGACAAAGGCUGGUCAAUCGGGCAUCUGCUGAAAACAGUCAAUUUUGGCUCUUACUCAUAUAGUUAUUCAUAUGAAAUUAUCCAGUUAUGUUUGGCAUGGUCCAGAAGUGAUUAUAUGACCUAUUUCAUUUGCUUUUAAUGUAGGCCAUGGAAGUCACUGGGGGUUUGGCUCUUACUCAUAUAGUUAUUCAUAUGAAAUUAAAUAUGGGAUGGUUGGGUUUCACGUAUGGGUGAGGAGGGUGCCCGAUUGGUUCAGAACCCUAGCUGGUUCUCAUAUUUAUGUUUGAGGAAUCCUUCGAUUGAGAAUUUGCAAUGGUUGCUGGUUAGGUUCACGUCUUGGAGACGUUAACAGUGUGUUCUCCAUCAAUAUGUUAAAUGAACUUUAAAAGAAAUCAGUUGGUCGUUUGUCUAAAAUUAUUUCAAACCUAAGAACUUGGGGUUGCUUAGAGUUAGAUAGUUUUGCACUGACGAGUCACAAAUGGUCGGCAUAUAUUUUCAUGGAUCUUAUCGAGUUAAUUUCAAAGAGUACAUCUUGGUUGCUUUGCUUGGUAUAAGAAUUGGGUUCAGAGCACCUUCGGGUAUAAGAAUUUGUUUUCUAAUUCUUGCUGGUCAGUCACAAAGCAUUAAUUUCUGUUUGCUUUACAAUUUUUCAGGAGUACUGGGAAAUGAUGAGCUUUUUUCCUUGGUUGCCUUUCUAUUACUGUGAUUCGGUUUGUGAUGCUCUGCUGCUCAUCUAGGUUGAUGGUGGAGCUGUGAUCCAAAGUUGGAGUGUGCCCUUUCGUCGGUGCCGUCAUUCUCUCCUCCACGACCGUCGUUGUCACGAGCCCAAGUAGCUUGGUUGGGUAUCGACGGUGUUGGUGGACCUAAUAGGUCCGUUUCUUUCUCUAAAAUGAAAAGCACACCGAGUUAUCUAUAUUUUGUCUGUAUGUAGUUCUAUACUUUUUUCUGCUAAUUUCUAAGUCCUGAUGGCCAUAAAUAAGAUUGUGUUAAAUAAGAUUGUGUGUUUUGGGUGAUACACCUAUAGAAAUCAAGGACCAGGACUAACUAAAGAUGAAUAAAAACACUGUACAGAGAACAAAAUAGGAAAGAGGUGGCCAUUGAGAUGUCAUGAUAGAUCAGAAUCAUGAUUAGUUAUUUAGUUGUUCCUCCAAUAGCAUCACAUGUAAAUGAAUCUUAAUAUAUUGAAGUUCUGUUUUUACUGGAACAGGGUAUGCCCUGUUCAAAUAAUAAUGAAAAAUGUUGUUAUCUCUUAAAGUAAUAAUAGCAUCUCUUAGUUUUUUUUGUUCUGCUUGAAAUUUCAGCAACAAAGAGAUUACAUUAUAUCCUUUUUGGUGGGCGGGUGAGCUAAUUUGGCAAUUUUCCUCUUUGGUUUAUGCAUAAAUUGGAUGCUUCAAAGGAUUUGAAUGGAGUUUAUUGUAGGUGAGUGUGACAAUCUGCAGGCUGACAUGCAUCAUUAGCUCCUCUUAUCCUGCAACAGGUAUCUUGCUAGGUUCAAUUAUUUCUUGGCUUAGAGCAGCGGCGCAAGUAGAGAGAGAGAGAGAGAGAGAGGCUGUUUCCUGGACUGCAGCUCCCCCCAUCAUCUUGGCUUGCAGGUUGCCACUGUGAUGGAGCCGAACGGGGUCUCGGGCCAGCUUGACUCCUAGCUUCCAGUCCAGUUUGUUGCCAAAUUAGCCCCCUAGCUAUCAAGGUUUCAGUACUUCAGCUCAUGCAUGUCAUCAUUUUGUUAAUGUGUCAAAGUAAAGAGAAAAUUGAUGCAUUGAGUUAUUAAUGAAGUGGUUUGGAUGAGAACUGAAAUCUUUCACUUUUAAGGCUGGAGAUUGUUAUGAACUGUGAGUAUUCAUAGAGAUAUUCAGAUCAAAUGAAGCAAAAGCAAGGCACAUAGUAUCUUUACAAUGACAAUGUGAUUUUUAACCCAUUGUGAUACUGAAAACCUGAUAAAGAAUAUAUUUUAUGACUGAAUGUUUGACGUGGGGCUGGAAGAAUUUUAGUUUUGUUUUGUACAUAAAUCUUCUAUGUAGUCAUGGUACUAAAUGUCCUAAGAUAUACCCGUAUGUUCUGUUUAUCUCCUACAAAUAGUGAAAUGGUCUAUGUGUAAAGUAUUUAUGUUUAGUUAUAUUAUGUUGUCGACGAUGCGUGGUUCUGGAACAUGGAGAUUAACAUUGAAGCUUUUGGUAUCUUGAAUUCUUAUGCUUUGUUAUUAACUUGAUGUGAUCCAGUUUUUUCUAUUUGGCAUUGCCACUGGCCUGCUUUCAGUGUCGUAUAACUAAACUCUUUUGGUUGAACUGGACGCAGAUUAAUUGUCCUGCCUUGCUUUUGGAACAAAUUAAAUGUAUCUUCUUUUUCAUGAGCUUGCAGAUCAAUUAUUCUUUAGAUAUUAAUACACUCAUUAGUUCCGAACAAGUACUAUAAUUUCCGAUGUACCAAAUGAUUUACAGUAUAGUGAGAUCUUACACGUUGGACCAAUUUGAUGUUUCUUCUUUCUCUUAAACCAGAAAAAAUCAUUGUCCUAUUGAAUAUGUAUGCUAAACCAUGUUUCCUACUAACGCAUCAUAUCAUUUGAUCAUUACCUUCUUGACCACAUCGUUGGGACAUGCACAGGUUCAUGUGAAGUGGUGCUUAUGAAGAUCAUCGACAAGGCAGUUGAGUGGAGUCACUUAUUAGUAUGAAGUGGCGCCUAUGAAGUUGAUCGACAAGGCAGUUGAGUGAAGCCACUUAUUAGUAUGCUUAGUAGUUCUGGCUUUGUAGUUGUCUCUCCUUUGUUACGCUUGUGGUAUCGAACUUCCAUGUCGAGUGGCUGCUUUUUUGGUGUCGAUUUUCAUGUCAGGUGGUUAUCUUUUGUGGUCUUAUGAACGCACUGAAACCAAUUCUACCUUAUAAUCUCAAGCCGAUAAUGAGCCCAUGUCUUGCUUCUAUAAUAGUUGAAUGUUUCUUCUUCAUUUUAUUGUUAUUCUGUAUGUAUGCAUAUGCUAAAUUUGGG
rnacentral:lncRNA from 1 species